AUUGAACGCUGGCGGCAUGCUUUACACAUGCAAGUCGAACGGCAGCGCGGGCUUCGGCUUGGCUGCGAGUGGCGAACGGGUGAGUAAUGCAUCGGAACGUGCCCAGCAGUGGGGGAUAGCCCGGCGAAAGCCGGAUUAAUACCGCAUACGACCUGAGGGUGAAAGCGGGGGACCGAAAGGCCUCGCGCUAUUGGAGCGGCCGAUGUCGGAUUAGCUAGUUGGUGGGGUAAAGGCUUACCAAGGCGACGAUCCGUAGCUGGUCUGAGAGGACGACCAGCCACACUGGAACUGAGACACGGCCCAGACUCCUACGGGAGGCAGCAGUGGGGAAUUUUGGACAAUGGGGGCAACCCUGAUCCAGCCAUGCCGCGUGCGGGAAGAAGGCCUUCGGGUUGUAAACCGCUUUUGUUCGGGAAGAAAUCCUCUGGGCUAAUACCCCGGGGGGAUGACGGUACCGGAAGAAUAAGCACCGGCUAACUACGUG
rnacentral:rRNA from 1 species